rnacentral:rRNA from 1 species
GACGAACGCUGGCGGCGUGCUUAACACAUGCCAGUCGAACGAAGAGCGAUGGAAGCUUGCUUCUAUCAAUCUUAGUGGCGAACGGGUGAGUAACGCGUAAUCAACCUGCCCUUCAGAGGGGGACAACAGUUGGAAACGACUGCUAAUACCGCAUACGAUCUAAUCUCGGCAUCGAGGAUAGAUGAAAGGUGGCCUCUACAUGUAAGCUAUCACUGAAGGAGGGGAUUGCGUCUGAUUAGCUAGUUGGAGGGGUAACGGCCCACCAAGGCGAUGAUCAGUAGCCGGUCUGAGAGGAUGAACGGCCACAGUGGGACUGAGACACGGCCCAGACUCCUACGGGAGGCAGCAGUGGGGAAUCUUCCGCAAUGGACGAAAGUCUGACGGAGCAACGCCGCGUGAGUGAUGACGGCCUUCGGGUUGUAAAGCUCUGUUAAUCGGGACGAAAGGCCUUCUUGCGAACAGUUAGAAGGAUUGACGGUACCGGAAUAGAAAGCCACGGCUAACUACGUA